GUUUCUAGCAUCUGGUAGCAGCACAUAGCAAGAGGAGAAACUCUAGAGAAGAGAAAAAGAAAAAGAUCAACGAAAGAGAUCAAGCAUUGAUCACAUGUUGGAGCAUGAUCCUGGCUCCUCCCACGGACCUUGGGUGCAGCAGAACCAGCAACGAACAAAUCUAGAGAUUUUUGGACUCGAUCGAAGGCCCUUGACGAAAUCAGCC
rnacentral:lncRNA from 1 species